rnacentral:rRNA from 1 species
UUCCAGACUCCUACGGGAGGCAGCAGUGGGGAAUAUUGCACAAUGGGGGAAACCCUGAUGCAGCGACGCCGCGUGAGCGAUGAAGUAUUUCGGUAUGUAAAGCUCUAUCAGCAGGGAAGAAGAUGACGGUACCUGACUAAGAAGCCCUGGCUAACUACGUGCCAGCAGCCGCGGUAAUACGUAGGGGGCAAGCGUUAUCCGGAUUUACUGGGUGUAAAGGGAGCGUAGACGGCGAUGCAAGCCAGAUGUGAAAGCCCGGGGCUCAACCCCGGGACUGCAUUUGGAACUGUGUGGCUGGAGUGUCGGAGAGGCAGGCGGAAUUCCUAGUGUAGCGGUGAAAUGCGUAGAUAUUAGGAGGAACACCAGUGGCGAAGGCGGCCUGCUGGACGAUGACUGACGUUGAGGCUCGAAAGCGUGGGGAGCAAACAGGAUUAGAUACCCCUGUAUAC